rnacentral:rRNA from 1 species
GACGUAGGGGGCCAGCGUUGUUCGGAAUUACUGGGCGUAAAGGGCUCGUAGGCGGCCAACUAAGUCGGAUGUGAAAUCCCCAGGCUUAACCUGGGAACUGCAUCCGAUACUGGAUGGCUUGAAUCCGGGAGAGGGAUGCAGAAUUCCAGGUGUAGCGGUGAAAUGCGUAGAUAUCUGGAGGAAUACCGGUGGCGAAGGCGGCAUCCUGGACCGGCAUUGACGCUGAUGAGCGAAAGCUAGGGGAGCAAACGGG